GGUCCUCAUCUGAUAAAUUUACACCUCUGACUUGCUGAUAAUCACAAAUUGCAGAUUCAUUUUUAUCACUUCCACUUUUUUGGUCAGCAUUUGAUAAGUUNNGCAUCUUUAAGCUGCUCAAUAUCAAAAUCCUCGGAUACAUUUUGAUCACUUGCAUUGUUUUCAUCUUCAUUUGUUAAAAAUGAGCCUGUGGGCUUGUCAUCAUUGCAAUUGCCAGAUUCAAUUUGACCCCUCCCAUUGCUUUCGUACGGGGAGCAUUCCCCUUCAGAAUGAAGAAUAGUUUCA
rnacentral:misc_RNA from 1 species